rnacentral:rRNA from 1 species
UACGUAGGGGGCUAGCGUUGUCCGGAAUCAUUGGGCGUAAAGCGCGCGUAGGCGGCCAGAUAAGUCCGGUGUGAAAGUCACAGGCUCAACCUGUGAAUGCCGCUGGAAACUGUCUGGCUUGAGUCCGGAAGGGGCGAGUGGAAUUCCUGGUGUAGCGGUGGAAUGCGCAGAUAUCAGGAGGAACACCGAUGGCGAAGGCAGGUCUCUGGGCCGCAACUGACGCUGAGGAGCGAAAGCAUGGGGAGCGAACAGG